rnacentral:rRNA from 1 species
UAAGGAAUAUUGGUCAAUGGACGCAAGUCUGAACCAGCCAUGCCGCGUGAAGGAUGAAGGUCCUCUGGAUUGUAAACUUCUUUUAUCUGGGACGAAACGGGAUUUUUAUCUCAAUUGACGGCACCAGAGGAAUAAGCACCGGCUAACUCCGUGCCAGCAGCCGCGGUAAUACGGAGGGUGCGAGCGUUAUCCGGAUUUACUGGGUUUAAAGGGUGCGUAGGUGGGCUUAUAAGUCAGUGGUGAAAUCUCCGAGCUUAACUUGGAAACUGCCGUUGAUACUAUAGGUCUUGAAUUAUCUGGAGGUAAGCGGAAUAUGUCAUGUAGCGGUGAAAUGCUUAGAUAUGACAUAGAACACCAAUUGCGAAGGCAGCUUACUACAUAUAAAUUGACGCUGAGGCACGAAAGCGUGGGGAUCGAACA